GAUGAACGCUGGCGGCGUGCUUAACACAUGCAAGUCGAACGAUGAAGCCCAGCUUGCUGGGUGGAUUAGUGGCGAACGGGUGAGUAACACGUGAGUAACCUGCCCUUAACUCUGGGAUAAGCCUGGGAAACUGGGUCUAAUACCGGAUAGGAGCGUCCCCCGCAUGGUGGGUGUUGGAAAGAUUUAUCGGUUUUGGAUGGACUCGCGGCCUAUCAGCUUGUUGGUGAGGUAAUGGCUCACCAAGGCGACGACGGGUAGCCGGCCUGAGAGGGUGACCGGCCACACUGGGACUGAGACACGGCCCAGACUCCUACGGGAGGCAGCAGUGGGGAAUAUUGCACAAUGGGCGCAAGCCUGAUGCAGCGACGCCGCGUGAGGGAUGACGGCCUUCGGGUUGUAAACCUCUUUCAGUAGGGAAGAAGCGAAAGUGACGGUACCUGCAGAAGAAGCACCGGCUAACUACGUG
rnacentral:rRNA from 1 species